UAGCUGCUCCUUGAGCUCAGGGUUCUGGG
rnacentral:piRNA from 1 species